UAGGCCUAACACAUGCAAGUCGAACGAUGAACUUCCCUUCGGGGAGGGGAUUAGUGGCGAACGGGUGAGUAACACGUGAGGAAUCUGCCUUCCACUCUGGGAUAACUCCGGGAAACCGGGGCUAAUACCGGAUACUUUCAACUGGCGGCAUCGCCGGUUGAAGAAAGUUUUUCGGUGGAAGAUGACCUCGCGGCCUAUCAGCUUGUUGGUGAGGUAAUGGCUCACCAAGGCGACGACGGGUAGCCGGCCUGAGAGGGCGACCGGCCACACUGGGACUGAGACACGGCCCAGACUCCUACGGGAGGCAGCAGUGGGGAAUACUGGGCAAUGGAGGAAACUCUGACCCAGCGACGCCGCGUGAGGGACGAAAGGGUUCGGGUUGUAAACCUCUUUCAGCAGGGAAUAAGGAAAGGAA
rnacentral:rRNA from 1 species